UACAGAGGUCUCAAGCGUUGUUCGGAUUCAUUGGGCGUAAAGGGUGCGUAGGUGGCUUUUUAAGUCAGGGGUGAAAGACGGUAGCUUAACUAUCGCAGUGCCUUUGAUACUGAAGAGCUUGAAUGAACUAGAGGUAGGCGGAAUGUGACAAGUAGCGGUGAAAUGCAUAGAUAUGUCACAGAACACCAAUUGCGAAGGCAGCUUACUAUGGUUUUAUUGACACUGAGGCACGAAAGCGUGGGGAUCAAACAGG
rnacentral:rRNA from 1 species